GAGGGUAUAGCUCAGUGGUAGAGUGCAUGCCUAGCAUGCAGGAGGUCUUGGGUUCAAUUCCCAGUACCUCG
rnacentral:tRNA from 1 species